AUUGAACGCUGGCGGAAUGCUUUACACAUGCGAGUCGAACGGCAGCACGGGGGCAACCCUGGUGGCGAGUGGCGAACGGGUGAGUAAUACAUCGGAACGUGCCCAGUCGUGGGGGAUAACUACGCGAAAGCGUAGCUAAUACCGCAUACGAACUCUGGUUGAAAGCGGGGGAUCGCAAGACCUCGCGCGAUUGGAGCGGCCGAUGGCAGAUUAGGUAGUUGGUGAGGUAAAGGCUCACCAAGCCGACGAUCUGUAGCUGGUCUGAGAGGACGACCAGCCACACUGGGACUGAGACACGGCCCAGACUCCUACGGGAGGCAGCAGUGGGGAAUUUUGGACAAUGGGCGCAAGCCUGAUCCAGCCAUUCCGCGUGCAGGAUGAAGGCCCUCGGGUUGUAAACUGCUUUUGUACGGAACGAAACGGUCCUGGUUAAUACCCGGGGCUAAUGACGGUACCGUAAGAAUAAGCACCGGCUAACUACGUG
rnacentral:rRNA from 1 species